rnacentral:rRNA from 1 species
CAUCAUGGCCCUUACGACCAGGGCUACACACGUGCUACAAUGGCAUAUACAAAGAGAAGCGACCUCGCGAGAGCAAGCGGACCUCAUAAAGUAUGUCGUAGUCCGGAUUGGAGUCUGCAACUCGACUCCAUGAAGUCGGAAUCGCUAGUAAUCGUAGAUCAGAAUGCUACGGUGAAUACGUUCCCGGGCCUUGUACACACCGCCCGUCACACCAUGGGAGUGGGUUGCAAAAGAAGUAGGUAGCUUAACCUUCGGGAGGGCGCUUACCACUUUGUGAUUCAUGACUGGGGUGAAGUCGUAACAAGGUAACCGUAGGGGAACCUGCGGUUGGAUCACCUCCUUACCUUAAAGAA